GACGAACGCUGGCGGCGUGCUUAACACAUGCAAGUCGAACGGAAAGGCCCUGCUUUUGUGGGGUGCUCGAGUGGCGAACGGGUGAGUAACACGUGAGUAACCUGCCCUUGACUUUGGGAUAACUUCAGGAAACUGGGGCUAAUACCGGAUAGGAGCUCCUGCUGCAUGGUGGGGGUUGGAAAGUUUCGGCGGUUGGGGAUGGACUCGCGGCUUAUCAGCUUGUUGGUGGGGUAGUGGCUUACCAAGGCUUUGACGGGUAGCCGGCCUGAGAGGGUGACCGGCCACAUUGGGACUGAGAUACGGCCCAGACUCCUACGGGAGGCAGCAGUGGGGAAUAUUGCGCAAUGGGCGGAAGCCUGAUGCAGCAACGCCGCGUGCGGGAUGACGGCCUUCGGGUUGUAAACCGCUUUCGCCUGUGACGAAGAGUGAGUGACGGUAAUGGGUAAAGAAGCACCGGCUAACUACGUG
rnacentral:rRNA from 1 species